CAGCCGCCGCGGGAAUACGGAGGGAGCUAGCGUUGUUCGGAAUUACUGGGCGUAAAGCGCACGUAGGCGGCUAUUCAAGUCAGGGGUGAAAGCCCGGGGCUCAACCCCGGAACUGCCUUUGAAACUAGAUAGCUUGAAUCUUGGAGAGGCGAGUGGAAUUCCGAGUGUAGAGGUGAAAUUCGUAGAUAUUCGGAAGAACACCAGUGGCGAAGGCGACUCGCUGGACAAGUAUUGACGCUGAGGUGCGAAAGCGUGGGGAGCAAACAGGAUUAGAUACCCCAGUAGUCCCUGUCUCUUAUAC
rnacentral:rRNA from 1 species